rnacentral:rRNA from 1 species
GCUCACAACGAACGCUAGCAGGUGCGUUUUAAGCCAUGCAAGUCGAACGGUAUUAUCGUUCUAUUUUAUAGAAUGAUAAGAGAGUGGCGAACGGGUGAGUAACACGUAGGUAAUCUGCCUAUCAAAUUGGGAUAGCCAGUGGGAACACUGAGUAAUACCAAAUACGUACUAUGUGAGGAAUUGCAUAGUAGAAAGGGUACAUCUGUGCCGUUGAUAGAGGAGCCUGCGCUUGAUUAGCUAGUUGGUGGGGUAAGAGCCCACCAAGGCGACGAUCAAUAGCCGGCCUGAGAGGGUGAACGGCCACACUGGGACUGAGACACGGCCCAGACUCCUACGGGAGGCAGCAGCUAAGAAUCUUCCGCAAUGGGCGAAAGCCUGACGGAGCGACACCGCGUGAAUGAAGAAGGCCGUGAGGUUGUAAAAUUCUUUUCUUGUUGAGGAAUAAAUAUUAUGCGCAAGUGUAAUAUGAUGACGGUAGGCAAGGAAUAAGCCCCGGCUAAUUACGUGCCAGCAGCCGCGGUAAUACGUAAGGGGCGAGCGUUGUUCGGAAUUAUUGGGCGUAAAGGGUACGUAGGCGGAUUAACAGGCAUUAAGAUAAAGCCAACAGCUCAACUGUUGUUAAUUUUAAUGAACCGUUAAUCUAGAGUUAUAGAGGGGAAACUGGAAUUCCUGGUGUAAGGGUGAAAUCUGUAGAUAUCAGGAGGAACAUCAGAGGCGAAGGCGAGUUUCUGGCUAAUAACUGGCGCUGAGGUACGAAAGCGUGGGGAGCGAACGGGAUUAGAUACCCCGGUAGUCCACGCCGUAAACGAUGUGCACUAGGUGGUGGAUCUGCGAAGAUUCACUACCGUAGCUAACGUGUUAAGUGCACCGCCUGGGGAGUAUGCUCGCAAGGGUGAAACUCAAAGGAAUUGACGGGGGCCCGCACAAGCGGUGGAGCAUGUGGUUUAAUUCGAUGAUACGCGAGAAACCUUACCAGGACUUGACAUAUACAGGAAAUCAUAAGAGAUUAUGGUGUCUUUCGAGACUUGUAUACAGGUGCUGCAUGGCUGUCGUCAGCUCGUGCUGUGAGGUGUUGGGUUAAGUCCCGCAACGAGCGCAACCCCUACUGUCUGUUGCCAGCGCAUAAUGGCGGGGACUCAGGCAGGACUGCCGGUAAAAAAUCGGAGGAAGGUGGGGACGACGUCAAGUCAUCAUGGCCCUUACGUCCUGGGCUACACACGUGCUACAAUGGCCGGUACAGUGCGGAGCAAUAUAGCAAUAUGGAGCAAAUCGCCAAAACCGGUCUCAGUUCGGAUUGGAGUCUGCAACUCGACUCCAUGAAGGUGGAAUCGCUAGUAAUCGCGCAUCAGCAUGGCGCGGUGAAUGUGUUCCCGGGCCUUGUACACACCGCCCGUCACACCACCCGAGUUGGGGAUACUCGAAGCCAUUAGCCUAACCGUAAGGAGGGCGAUGUCGAAGGUAUGCUUAGUAAGG